CUUUAAUCCAAGCCCAGCUGUAUCUGGUUGACAUCUGAAGCAUUGCAGCAAAACUGUCAAAGGACCUCCUGGUUCAGAGAAU